AGUUACUGCUGAGCCGUAGUUCCUUAGUUGUCGAAGAUUCCACGGUCGAGUUUUAGGAGUACUAAAUUUGAGGUUUUUCGUCUUGGAUACAACGGCAGUUCAGCUUUAGCGAUAGAAGCGGUGACAUCAGGAGCGACAUCAGUAGCAACGCAGUUCCCUUAGAGCGACGAUGGAGAGAGGGAACGGUCGCAGUUCCUCCAACGUCAUUGACCGGACUCCCCCUGUUCAUCAGGGGGAGUCCACCGUCCCCUGGGACUGCGCGGCCUCCCACCGCCCCCGGGGUCCCAGGGGACCCGGUCCCCGAGGACAUGUCUUCGGGGAUGCGGUAUC